UAUACAUAGAAAUGAGCAAACUCUACAUCAUAAUAAGCGAUCGACAGAAAGAUAGAGGCGGACGAAGCGGCCGGAGUCUGGCAGCUUAACCCCCAAAUCCGACUAUAGUAGCAUCUGCUAAUUCUCGGGUCUAGAGCUAUGAAUUGGGUUCAGCGAAAAAUAUACCUGUACAAUGUCACAUUUGGGCUCUAUAUGUUGGACUGGUGGGAGCGGUGUCUUUUCAACACUCUGGUGCUUAUGCUAAUUUGGUAUGUUUGCUACAACAGUUUUCAACACGCCACUCAGUUCUAUACGAGAUUCAGCCUUGAUAAACUACCACAGCAAGGAUCAACCUAUCGAUAAAUCUUGACGAACCGGGACAGUCUCCUGCUAAUGUGAUUAGCUCAUCUGUGUUAUAUUUGUAAGUUAAUUUUAUUUGAAUACGAGGAGUUUUGUUGAAAUUGGAUGUUAUAGACAACAAUCUUAUGGUCUUUUUUAGUAUGAGGAUUAUGAAUAGGAUGCUUCUUUUGUGUUAUCAAUAAUCUAAAUUAUACUAAUAUGUAUUCAUAUCAAACCUCCUUUUCCUUUCUAAAGAAAACUUUCAUACAAGAUAGUU